GUUUGUUUGUUUGUGUCGUUAAUUAGGCAGCAGAAAUCAAUGUACCAUUUUUCAGUCAUUAAAAUUCAUUGACGUUUGAUUUAUGCUACUGUAAAUACUACAUGUGUCCAACAAUUGUAUCUAUGGAAGAAUGUGUAAUACCACAUGCAUAUAGAGCCUCCUCGUUGGUUUUAUAAUUAUGCAAUUACUUCGCCAUUUUAAUAGUGAUUAUUUGAUUACCAAACCAAAUAUGUCAUUAUUAUUUGAUUAUUAACCAACUAAGUACAUUAUUGCCAACAAUGACUGUUUAUUAAAAAUUACAUAUUUUCUGUAAUGGCCCUUUUUUUCUGUAAUGGCCCUGUUUUUCUGUGAUGGCCCUCUUUUUCUGUAAUGGCCCUGUAUUAAUGCCCAGUUUGUCUGUAUUAAGCCCAGUUAAGAUUUUUAAUAAAGUUAAUAAAAUUAAGUUGUAAAGACUCUUUACUAAAAAGUAUAAUACUUUUUCCUAUUUUGUUAAAUUUAGUAACCAGCAACCAACAUUAAAGAACCAUAUAAAGGGAUCAGUGUUCAUAUUGUUUUUCAACACAUAACUUCUUUCAACUUAAUGUCUUAGAUAUUUGGUAUAUUUAAAGCUUUAUCAUGAGUGUGAAGUACAAAUUAUUUUUUCAAACUAAACUAUCAUUAAAAGAGUAAGAGGAUGCAUCAAGUUGGCAGCAACACAUACACUUUUGUUCAGUUGGUUAAUAAAUGUAUUAAGAAAUGGGUGUUUUUAUAAUGGCCCUGUUGUAUGUCCUCGGUCAGUAAUAAUGGCAGACUUCCUCGACUAUUAUUACAGACCUUGGACAUAUAACAGGGCCAUUAUAAAAACGCCCAUUCAUUAAUACUAUAUUAUGUAAUAUUCUAGAACUGUAAUUGUGAUUAUUUGAUUAUCUUGUUUAAAAUAAUAGUUAAUGAUUGUUUGAUUAUAUUGGCCAAACAUUUGUGAUUAUGUGAUGACUUGGACUCCCCCAUGAGGAGGCUCUCAUUAAAUAGAAAAAAAAAUGUUGUUAUUUAUUAUAUUAAUGUGACCUUUUUAAUUUUAAUUUAAGUUUCGACCUGUAUCGAUAUGAAAUAAAUACCUCAAG
rnacentral:lncRNA from 1 species